UACGUAGGGGGCAAGCGUUGUCCGGAUUUAUUGGGCGUAAAGAGCGUGUAGGCGGCCUGAAAGGUCAGCUGUGAAAACUCGAGGCUCAACCUCGAGACGUCGGUUGAAACCAUCUGGCUAGAGUCCGGAAGAGGAGUGUGGAAUUCCCGGUGUAGCGGUGAAAUGCGCAGAUAUCGGGAAGAACACCCGUGGCGAAGGCGGCAUCCUGGACCGGCAUUGACGCUGAGGCGCGAAAGCUAGGGGAGCAAACGGG
rnacentral:rRNA from 1 species